rnacentral:rRNA from 1 species
CCUACGGGUGGCAGCAGUGAGGAAUAUUGGUCAAUGGGCGCAAUCCUGAACCAGCCAAGUCGCGUGAGGGAUGACGGUCCUAUGGAUUGUAAACCUCUUUUGUCGGGGAGCAAGGCCCGCCACGUGUGGCGGGAAGGAGAGUACCCGAAGAAAAACCAUCGGCUAACCCCGUGCCAGCAGCCGCGGUAAUACGGAGGAUGCGAGCGUUAUCCGGAUUUAUUGGGUUUAAAGGGUGCGUAGGCGGAAGGUUAAGUCAGCGGUAAAAUGGCGGUGCUCAACACCGGCCAGCCGUUGAAACUGGUCUACUUGAGUGAGCGAGAAGUAUGCGGAAUGCGUGGUGUAGCGGUGAAAUGCAUAGAUAUCGCGCAGAACUCCGAUUGCGAAGGCAGCAUACCGGCGCUCAACUGACGCUGAGGCACGAAAGCGUGGGGAUCGAACAGGAUUAGAUACCCCAGUAGUC